UACUAACGCUGGCGGCGUGCUUAACACAUGCAAGUCGAACGGAAAGGCCCUGCUUUUGUGGGGUGCUCGAGUGGCGAACGGGUGAGUAACACGUGAGUAACCUGCCCUUGACUUUGGGAUAACUUCAGGAAACUGGGGCUAAUACCGGAUAGGAGCUCCUGCUGCAUGGUGGGGGUUGGAAAGUUUCGGCGGUUGGGGAUGGACUCGCGGCUUAUCAGCUUGUUGGUGGGGUAGUGGCUUACCAAGGCUUUGACGGGUAGCCGGCCUGAGAGGGUGACCGGCCACAUUGGGACUGAGAUACGGCCCAGCCUCCUACGGGAGGCAGCAGUGGGGAAUAUUGCACAAUGGGCGGAAGCAUGAUGCAGCAACGCCGCGUGCGGGAUGACGGCCUUCGGGUUGUAAACCGCUUUCGCCUGUGACGAAGCGUGAGUGACGGUAAUGGGUAAAGAAGCACCGGCUAACUACGUG
rnacentral:rRNA from 1 species